rnacentral:misc_RNA from 1 species
GAUGAAGAACGUAGCGAAAUGCGAUACGUAAUGUGAAUUGCAAAUUCAGUGAAUCAUCGAGCCUUUGAACGCACAUUGCGCCCCCUGGUAUUCCGGGGGGCAUGCCUGUCCGAGCGUCAUUGCUGCCCUCAAGCACGGCUUGUGUGUUGGGCCCCGUCCUCCGAUCCCGGGGGACGGGCCCGAAAGGCAGCGGCGGCACCGCGUCCGGUCCUCGAGCGUAUGGGGCUUUGUCACCCGCUCUGUAGGCCCGGCCGGCGCUUGCCGAUCAACCCAAAUUUUUUAUCCAGGUUGACCUCGGAUCAGGUAGGGAUACCCGCUGAACUUAAGCAUAUAAUAAGCGGAGGA